GACGUAGGGCGCAAGCGUUGUCCGGAUUUAUUGGGCGUAAAGAGCUCGUAGGCGGCUUGUUGCGUCGUCCGUGAAAACCCGCAGCUCAACUGCGGGCUUGCGGACGAUACGGGCAGGCUGGAGUUCGGUAGGGGAGACUGGAAUUCCUGGUGUAGCGGUGAAAUGCGCAGAUAUCAGGAGGAACACCGGUGGCGAAGGCGAGUCUCUGGGCCGAUACUGACGCUGAGGAGCGAAAGCGUGGGGAGCGAACAGG
rnacentral:rRNA from 1 species